rnacentral:tRNA from 1 species
GGCCUCAUCGUCUAGUGGUUAGGACACAGCCCCUUCAAGGCUGUGACACGGGUUCGACUCCCGUUGAGGCCACCA